rnacentral:lncRNA from 1 species
GUCGAUGAUUGCUAAGCGUCGCCGAGUUGGGAGUGUCUUCAGCCCUAAGGCAGCAUCAGAGAUCAUAAUCUUCUGCUCUCGUGGCAAGAAAUUUGUGCGGAUAGAGUUGAUACACCUCACUUGAAGUUGGCCUGGAGAAAAGAGGCGUCGGACUCCUGGACGGGGUUGGGAAACGGUCACCAGUUUCGGCUCAAAGCAGCCUGUUUCCAGGAGACCGCCAUGGUCGAGGCAGCGUCCUGGUCCCACGGUGCGGGGCCGGACGAUCAUUUAUGGGAUAUAAAUAAAAGGACUAUGAGGUGGUAAAUAAAAGACUACCAACUAGAAGCCAUAGGGAGUCAUUUGAAGGAGAAAUAGGCACGGCUCAUCUGUGGUUGAGGGAAAGGGAUCUUGAAAGAUGAUUAGGAGAACUUGGGUUCUGGGGAAAGUGCGGGAAGACAUUCUGGCAGAGAAGCAAACGUGAGGAAAGAGUUUUGCUCUUGUUGCCCAGGCUGGAGUACAAUGGCGCAACCUCGGCUCACCACAACCUCCGCUUCCCAGGUUCAAGCGAUUCUCCUGCCUCAGCCUCCUGAGUCGCUGGGAUUACAGGAAUGUGCCACCAUGCCCGGCUAGUUUUGUAUUUUUAUUAGAGACUGGGUUUCUCCAUGUUGGUCAGGCUGGUCUCGAACUCCUGAUCUCAGGUGAUCCACCUGCCUCGGCCACCCAAAGUGCUGGGAUUACAGGCAUGAGCUACCAUGCCCAGAGAAUUCCAGGUAAUUCUCAUGGUGAAUGAAUUCCAUUCAUACUGUUGUUCUUCAGUCUGCCAAAUGGAUAUUACAUAACACAUUUGUGUGCCAUGAUGGGCCUUACAUAUAUUGACUCAUGUAAUUCUCACAACUUUAUGAGGUGGUAUUAGUCGCAUUUUCAUUUCAUGAAAUUGAGGCACAAAAAAAUUAGACAUGUUGAAGAUCAUACAUCAUCCCUCACCUGGGCUACAAUAGCCUCUUAACUAAUCUCUGCUUCUCCUCUUGUCCACACAACAGCCAGAGAACCUUUAAAUAUGUUAAGUAUGUCAAGCCUCUGCUCAAACUGAGUUUUUCCUGUCACACUUCAGUGUGGCCUAUAGGCCCUAAGUGAUGUAGCCUUUGCUUAUAUUGUCUUCCACUCUCAUCCUUGUUCACAGAGCUCUAGCAAUUCUCAUGUUUGGAGGUCCUCAAGGCAAAACUCAGCUUUAUUUCCCAUUCCCUUAGUAUGGAAAGCUAUUUCCCUAUCUGUGUGUCUUGCUUUUACAUCAUUGCUCUGCUCUCCUCAAAAACCUUCCCCUCUUAUCCCCAUCACCGUCCUCAUUUUGAUUCUUCAUAUACAUUUAUCCUUUCCUGAUUUUAUACUGUUUACCUUUUUAUGGUUUGUUUUCCCCUCUAAAACAUAAGUUCCAUCUGGACAAGGGCUUUGCUCAGUCCUAUUUUCCUAGGCCCUAGAAUCAAACCAGUAUUGGGUGAAUGGAUACUGAAUGAAGCUUUACCUAAGUGCUUUGUCUUUUACUUAGUUUCAGUGGUUAAAUCUCAGAAAGCUUAACAGCAAUUCUAAGCAUGUCUUUAUCAUAAAAGGUUAAAAACUGUAUUAUUGGGAUAUUUUUUCUCUUUUUAUGUUUACCUACAAGCCCGUAGAAAGUAUAAAUACUCAAAAGAUAGCAGACCAGGUAGGCUUAAGUUACUUUUACAAAACAGUAGAAAUACCUUCAAAUAUUUAGCACUGAUGAACUUACUACUGAGGACAUGUGGACUCUACUAAGAAACUAAUGAUGAAAUUCAUAAUUGGGUGUGGUAGCACAUGCACCCAGCUACUCGAGAGGCUGCAGCUUGAGUCCAGGAGUUCAAGGCUGCAGGGAGCCAUAAUCAUGCCAC